rnacentral:rRNA from 1 species
GAUGAACGCUGGCGGCGUGCCUAAUACAUGCAAGUAGAACGCUGAAGCUUGGUGCUUGCACCGAGCGGAUGAGUUGCAAACGGGUGAGUAACGCGUAGGUAACCUGCCUCUUAGCGGGGGAUAACUAUUGGAAACGAUAGCUAAUACCGCAUAAAAGUUGACAUUGCAUGAUGUUGAUUUGAAAUAUGCAAUUGCAUCACUAAGAGAUGGACCUGCGUUGUAUUAGCUAGUUGGUGAAGUAACGGCUCACCAAGGCGACGAUACAUAGCCGACCUGAGAGGGUGAUCGGCCACACUGGGACUGAGACACGGCCCAGACUCCUACGGGAGGCAGCAGAAGGGAAUCUUCGGCAAUGGACGGAAGUCUGACCGAGAAACGCCGCGUGAGUGAAGAAGGUUUUCGGAUCGUAAAGCGCUGUUGUAAGAGAAGAAAGAGUGUGAGAGUGGAAAGUUCACACUGUGACGGUAACUUACCAGAAAGGGACGGCUAACUACGUG